rnacentral:lncRNA from 1 species
ACACCGCCUCUGAAAUCCCUACUCUCCCAAAGCCUCUCUACAACACCCUCAAACCCUAGCCGCCACCAUCCUAAUCCACCAUAAUCCAUGGCCUUCCGAGGUCAUCAGAGACCUGUACCAGCCUUCCAUGGCUCCUAUGUGUUUGUCCUUAUGGUUUCAAGGCUAGACUAUGAAGAACUCUGGUCCAGUCUUCAUUCAAUUUUAGUUCACGGCCGUUAUUUGGUCAUCUUUGACCUUUCUCCGGCCAGUCAUGAUCAUUCGAGUCAGGCCUUUGACUCUCCUGGUUAGAUUGGUAACUUUCAAAGCCUUUCUCAUCUUUUCUGGGUUUUCUGAAACCCUAAUCUCUAAGAUCUUUCGAUUUCUUUCAUAUAUACUUUAGAUCUGUGCUUGAUUUGAACUUCUAAGUAUUUUUCUCGAAGUCUCUUUAACUUUGCUUUCAAAACUCUUUAUCUUUUCCGAUUAGGGUUUUCCUAUUAAGUGAUUCCAUAUCUCUUCUAUGAUUUUUAAUAUAUUUUUCUAUGUUUUACUCGUAUUUGUUUAUCAUCUUUUAAGCUUGACUAUUGUUGAAAGAACCUAUUGCUUUGGGUCUGAAACCGUUUUUUUGAAUAUUUAACUCGAUUUGAAGUUCCUUGUUUUAGGAUCUCUUUUCCUUUAUAUGAUAUAUCUGAUUCUGGAUUUCUAUUAUCUUUAAACUUGAUUAUGCUUGAAACCUUAAUCUUUUGUAAGGGGUUUCCUCACCUGCUGCUGUGAAACUUUUGCAUGUUCUGAUACUCUAUUUUUCUUCACUAUUGACUCAAUGUUACUUGACCUACUAGACUAUCAUGCUUCGAAUGUUUGCUAUCUACUGAACUUUGUGCUACUAUUGCAUGUUGUUUCUUUUGCCAAUAGGUUUGGCCUCACAUGUCUAGUGCUGUUCACUCUAUUUAUAUGCUGUGGUUCCUUCUUUGAUUGAUCUUCAAUCCUAGGACUGAUUUCAAAUCAUUUAUUUGGUAAACUCUAAUUUCACUCGCUUGUUAAAGUUAAUUGAUUCAUGUCCUUAUUUUGCCUUGUUGAACUUAGUGUUUGUGCACUCUAUUUAUAUGCUGAAGUUCCUUCCUUGAUUGACCUCCAAUCUUGUGACUGAGUUCAAAACCUUUCUUUUAUGAACUCUAAUUUCGCUCGCCUGUCAAAAUUAAUUGAUUCUUUUCCUUAUUCUGCCUUACUGAAUCCCUUUUCCAAAAUAAGUGUAUUUCUGUACUUAGACUCAAUUGUGUACUUAAUGUUUUACUACUUCUUUUAUGGCAAUAAUCAGUCUGCCUGUAAACUGUUUUUCUUUCCUUAUUUUGAAUCUGUUAGGCCCGUUAAACAAGUGAUUCCUCAAUUAAAGGAGAAUCACUUGAUUGAUUGAUUCUGACAGUUGAUUAUUUCCAUAUUUGUAUUGGAAUUUACUUAUUACCUUAUUUCUCACAUGUUUUCAAAAGGCUAUAAAUACCAUGUAUCCUCUUCUUUCAAACACACGAACUCAAUGAAUAAAAUACCUGAGUUCAGAACACAGACUCCACUAAAAUCUCUCUCUCUUUUCUUUGUUACUACUUGUAUUGCUGCCUUGUCUAGCCGGCUGAAAGCCAAGGCUAAACUGUGGGAAAUUUGCUUACUUUCUUUCUGUAUUAGCUUCUUUACUGGUAUGUUCUAAUUAAUCUUCAGCAUCAACAACAACACGUUUCUUUACUAUUUCUUGCACUCUUGCAUGUUUCCUGCUUGUGUUUAAUUAAAUUCCAUUAUUAAGUAUACUGUAUCCCUUUCCCUUCUGAAUUAAUGUUUCCCUUAUGUAUGAAUUCUAGUAGUCACUUAUUAUGACUUAUGAACCCCAAACCCCUAUAUCCCCUAUGUGUUUGUAUUCUUUGGUUGGUUUGAGGGCAUGUCAGCAUUAGACAUUGUUGUACAUGACCCAAACCUGAUCCUCUCUAUGUGCUAUGUCUUCUGGCUAGUUUAGGGGCAUGCCAACAUCUCUUAUUGCUGUGCAUGUCCAUAUUUGACCCCUCUUAGGGUCAUAUACCACCUGCAAUGUAUUCCCAAACCCUUGCCCCUUUUUGAAAUUGCUGAUGCUGUAUAACUUUGGCUUUGCUAGUACUGUUUUUCAAACUACUACCCUUGUCCUUUUACUAUUCUUAAUCCAGUUUUUAAAGAACUCUCUGCUUCUGCAAUUCCACUCUACUCUUAGACUUAAGUUCUGCCCCUCUUGUGUGAGCCUUGUCUAGGGACCCAUGAGCUGCCUCUGAACUUGGACACAUAAGGGCUGGCCCUUCUACACUGCACUCAUCUCUAUCCAGUUAUGCAACUUGGGUGUGCGCAUUGCCCGGGGUCCUCUUGAGACCCUUAGUGA